rfam:Fukomys damarensis contig116065, whole genome shotgun sequence.
GGAUGCAAAGGUAAUCUGGUGGUGCCAUCUGCCACCCCAUUGAUUGCCGGCGUUGAUUCAGCUGAUCUGUCUGGCUAGGCAGGGUCCUCUUCCUCCCUAACUGUUCCAUGUGCAUCCCUCCUGAAGCUCUAUGCUGGGUUGGAAGAGCAAGGCCACUCCUGAUAGAGGAAGACCGUUUUCUUGGUCAAGGGUAUGUGAAUAGCUGUGCUCCCCUGCCAGAACCUCCAAAGAAGCUCUUGAGAAGCCUGAGCCUUCCAUUGAGCACCUGGAGUUACAAUCAGCCCUCAGAAAUGAGUUGAGUUCAGAAGCCAAAGGUUCUACUUUAAGGUUCCU